rnacentral:rRNA from 1 species
AGUUUGAUCAUGGCUCAGGAUGAACGCUAGCGGGAGGCUUAAUACAUGCAAGUCGAGCGAGAAGGUGGCUUCGGUCACUGGGGAGCGGCGCACGGGUGAGUAACGCGUACAUGACCUACCUUUAAGACUGGGAUAGCCCUGGGAAACUGGGAUUAAUACCGGAUGUGGUAAUAGUUAUAGAAGAUUAUUAUUAAAGCUGAGGUGCUUAGAGAUGGGUGUGCGUCUGAUUAGCUAGUUGGUAGGGUAAGGGCCUACCAAGGCGACGAUCAGUAGGGGGCGUGAGAGCGUGAUCCCCCACACGGGUACUGAGACACGGACCCGACUCCUACGGGAGGCAGCAGUAAGGAAUAUUGGUCAAUGGACGGAAGUCUGAACCAGCCAUCCCGCGUGCAGGAUGAAGAUUCUAUGGAUUGUAAACUCCUUUUAGCAUAGAAGAAACGCUUUCAUUAAUGAGAGUCUGACGGUAUAUGCAGAAUAAGCACCGGCUACUCCGUGCCAGCAGCCGCGGUAAUACGGGGGGUGCAAGCGUUAUCCGGAAUUACUGGGUUUAAAGGGUGCGUA